rnacentral:rRNA from 1 species
AGGGUUCGAUUAUGGCUCAGGAUGAACGCUGGCGGCGUGCCUAAUACAUGCAAGUAGAACGCUGAAGCUUGGUGCUUGCACCGAGCGGAUGAGUUGCGAACGGGUGAGUAACGCGUAGGUAACCUGCCUCUUAGCGGGGGAUAACUAUUGGAAACGAUAGCUAAUACCGCAUAAAAGUCGAUAUCGCAUGAUAUUGAUUUGAAAGGUGCAAUUGCAUCACUAAGAGAUGGACCUGCGUUGUAUUAGCUAGUUGGUGAGGUAACGGCUCACCAAGGCGACGAUACAUAGCCGACCUGAGAGGGUGAUCGGCCACACUGGGACUGAGACACGGCCCAG